CAUGAGGGCCUCGAUAAUGCUUUUAGAAGGACAGGUUUCUCCGCUCCCCCGGCAUAAAUAUCUAGUUCCCUGAAGCACUGCGGCCUUUCGGACCCAAGACCAAAGAUCGCUGCAGCCCUCCGAGGUAGAACUCUGCCCUUUGUGCUGUGGGCUUUCUUAAAAUGGCUGAUGGACAUGAAACCAAUAAGAAUAUUGAGAUAUGGAAGAUUAAGAAAUUAAUUAAGGCGUUGGAAACUGCACGAGGUAAUGGCACUAGCAUGAUCUCUCUCAUCAUGCCACCUCGUGAUCAAAUCUCUCGGGUUGCUAAAAUGUUGGGUGAUGAAUAUGGAACUGCCUCGAACAUCAAAAGCAGAGUCAAUCGACAAUCUGUGUUGGCUGCCAUUACCUCUGCGCAGCAGAGAUUGAAGCUUUACAGCAAGGUUCCUCCCAAUGGACUAGUUCUGUAUACGGGUACCAUUGUUACUGAAGAUGGCAAAGAAAAGAAGGUCACCAUAGAUUUUGAGCCAUUCAAGCCCAUUAAUGCAUCGCUAUACCUCUGUGAUAACAAGUUUCAUACCGAGGCACUGAAUGAGCUUCUUGAAUCUGAUGACAAGUUUGGUUUCAUAGUAAUGGAUGGAAAUGGAACUCUUUUUGGUACUUUAAGUGGCAAUACUCGUGAAGUGCUUCACAAGUUCUCUGUGGAUCUUCCAAAGAAGCAUGGAAGAGGAGGGCAGUCGGCAUUGCGAUUUGCUCGCCUUCGUAUGGAGAAGCGUCAUAACUAUGUCCGCAAGACAGCUGAACUGGCUACACAAUUCUUCAUCAAUCCUGCCACAAGUCAACCAAAUGUUUCUGGAUUAAUUUUGGCUGGUUCUGCUGAUUUUAAGACAGAGUUGAGUCAGUCUGACAUGUUUGAUGCUCGCCUACAGGCUAAGAUUCUCAACGUGGUUGAUGUCUCAUAUGGAGGUGAGAAUGGUUUCAAUCAGGCCAUUGAAUUGUCUGCAGAGAUUCUAUCGAAUGUCAAGUUCAUACAGGAAAAGAAGUUGAUAGGAAAGUAUUUUGAGGAGAUAAGCCAAGACACUGGAAAAUAUGUCUUUGGUGUAGAUGAUACACUUAAAGCUCUGGAAAUGGGUGCUGUUGAGAUCCUAAUUGUGUGGGAAAAUUUGGAUAUCAACAGAUAUGUGCUAAAGCACAGCACUAGUGGGGAAGUCAUUAUAAAGCAUUAUAACAAGGAUCAAGAAGCAGAUCAGAACAACUUUCGAGAUCCUGUAACAUCUGCAGAUUUGGAGGUGCAAGAGAAGAUGUCUCUCUUGGAGUGGUUUGCUAAUGAGUACAAGCGUUUUGGUUGCUCUCUCGAGUUUGUUACCAACAAAUCUCAAGAGGGCUCUCAGUUUUGCAGGGGCUUUGGUGGCAUUGGUGGGAUCCUUCGCUAUCAGUUGGAUAUAAGGGCUUUUGAUGAGCUGUCGGAUGGAGAAUACUAUGAAGAUUCUGAUUAGCAAUCAACCAACCUUGAACUGGAUCCGGUCCAGGGGGAGCCUGUGCUGGCCCUGCCUGUGGCCGGACAUGCUCCUCGGGGGCUGCACAUAUCUUCAAAAAAACUGUGAUGGGAGCAAACGAACAGAUACACAGUGAUCACUAUGGAUCAUUUCAGGGGCUGUCAUGAUGAUAUGACAUGGUAAAUUGAAGAUUUCUCAGAUGUCCGCUGCUGAGACCCUGGUUUGUUAGUGCCUUGUGAGGUCUUUGUGUCAAAUAACCAGACACCUUUCCUGUUUGAUAUUAUACUAUGGUGUGCCUGUCAUUGUAGCAUGGUUGAAGAGUUCCCUGACUCUGUUUUUAUGACUUUCCUGACUGUGUUUUUAUUACAACUGAAAAAUAUCUGCUGGGUAUGUUAUGGUUGGACAUAUGUUAUGAGUAUUGCAGCUAUUUUAUUAUUGUAAAAUCUAUUUUCUUUUA